rnacentral:rRNA from 1 species
GACGAACGCUGGCGGCGUGCUUAACACAUGCAAGUCGAACGGAAAGGCCCUGCUUUUGUGGGGUGCUCGAGUGGCGAACGGGUGAGUAACACGUGAGUAACCUGCCCUUGACUUUGGGAUAACUUCAAGAAACUGGGGCUAAUACCGGAUAGGAGCUCCUGCUGCAUGGUGGGGGUUGGAAAGUUUCGGCGGUUGGGGAUGGACUCGCGGCUUAUCAGCUUGUUGGUGGGGUAGUGGCUUACCAAGGCUUUGACGGGUAGCCGGCCUGAGAGGGUGACCGGCCACAUUGGGACUGAGAUACGGCCCAGACUCCUACGGGAGGCAGCAGUGGGGAAUAUUGCACAAUGGGCGGAAGCCUGAUGCAGCAACGCCGCAUGCGGGAUGACGGCCUUCGGGUUGUAAACCGCUUUCGCCUGUGACGAAGCGUGAGUGACGGUAAUGGGUAAAGAAGCACCGGCUAACUACGUG